rnacentral:lncRNA from 1 species
AGGAGGGUAGCAUCGAUGUAGGGGUACAAAUGGAUCGGGUCGAGUCGGGUUUUGAGUGAUCCCGACCCGACCUAGUUUCUUGUUCGAAUUCUAAUUUUGGAUCUAGAUCCGAUCCAAUUAAAUAUCGAGUCGAAUCAGGUCAGAUCUACGGCUAUAAUUUUUGACCCAACGAGUCAUUUGGGUCGGUCAAAUUCAUGUAUAACCUAGAUCCAACCCAAAAAAUUCUGAUUCGGGUCAUGUCGGAUCCUGGUCAGAGUCCAAAAUUAAAGGGGGGAAAAGGACGUACUCACAUCAGAAAUUUUAAGUUUUUGAAACCAACGCAAGCCGCAGCUCAAAAGAUCAGAGCUUUUAAUAAGAAAUCUGGAGAAAAGCCGAUUGAUACCCCCACUGAAGUUUUAAAAUUUUAACACAAGCCCAGUUCAA